rnacentral:rRNA from 1 species
UACGGAGGGUGCAAGCGUUAUCCGGGUUUACUGGGUUUAAAGGGUGCGUAGGCGGGCCUUUAAGUCAGUGGUGAAAGCUCCGAGCUUAACUCGGAAACUGCCAUUGAUACUAUUGGUCUUGAAUUCGGUCGAGGUUGGCGGAAUGUGUCGUGUAGCGGUGAAAUGCUUAGAUAUGACACAGAACACCGAUUGCGAAGGCAGCUAGCUAGACCGACAUUGACGCUGAGGCACGAAAGCGUGGGGAUCAAACAGG